rnacentral:rRNA from 1 species
AUUGAACGCUGGCGGCAGGCCUAACACAUGCAAGUCGAGCGGAUGAAGGGAGCUUGCUCCUGGAUUCAGCGGCGGACGGGUGAGUAAUGCCUAGGAAUCUGCCUGGUAGUGGGGGAUAACGUCCGGAAACGGGCGCUAAUACCGCAUACGUCCUGAGGGAGAAAGUGGGGGAUCUUCGGACCUCACGCUAUCAGAUGAGCCUAGGUCGGAUUAGCUAGUUGGUGGGGUAAAGGCCUACCAAGGCGACGAUCCGUAACUGGUCUGAGAGGAUGAUCAGUCACACUGGAACUUGGACACGGUCCAGACUCCUACGGGAGGCAGCAGUGGGGAAUGUUGGACAAUGGGCGAAAGCCUGAUCCAGCCAUGCCGCGUGUGUGAAGAAGGUCUUCGGAUUGUAAAGCACUUUAAGUUGGGAGGAAGGGCAGUAAGUUAAUACCUUGCUGUUUUGACGUUACCAACAGAAUAAGCGCCGGCUAACUUCGUG